rnacentral:lncRNA from 1 species
GAAAGAGACCUCAAGUUUCCAAAUUCACUUGGAAUUGAGCCAGAAAGUGAAUUGUUAAAAAGAGACAAGGCAGCUAAGUUGCUCAAAUUGCCCAAAGAUGGAGGGAUUGAGCCACUGAGUUUAUUAUUGCUCAAUUCUAGAUCGGAAAGAGACCUCAAGUUUCCUAUUUCACUUGGAAUUGAGCCAGAAAGUGAAUUGUCAAAAAGAUACAAGGUAGCUAAGUUGCUGAAAUUGCUCAAAGAUGGAGGGAUUGAGCCACUGAGUUUAUUAUUGUUCAAUGCUAGAUCAGAAAGAGACCUUAAGUUUCCUAUUUCACAUGGAAUUGAGCCAGAAAGUGAAUUGUUAUAAAGAUACAAGGUAGCUAAGUUGCGUAAAUUGCUCAAAGAUGGAGGGAUUGAGCCACUGAGUUUAUUAUUGCUCAAUUCUAGAUCGGAAAGAGACCUCAAGUUUCCUAUUUCACUUGGAAUUAAGCUAGAAAGUGAAUUGUUAUAAAGAUACAAGGUAGCUAAGUUGCUCAAAUUGCAAAAAGAUGGAGGAAUUGAGCCACUGAGUUUAUUAUUGUUCAAUGCUAGAUCAGAAAGAGACCUCAAGUUUCCUAUUUCACUUGGAAUUGAGCCAGAAAGUGAAUUGUCAUAAAGAUACAAGGUAGCUAAGUUGCUCAAAUUGCCCAAAGAUGGAGGGAUUGAGCCACUAAGUUUAUUGUACCCUAAAUUAAGUGUGGAAAGAGACCUCAAGUUUCCAAAUUCACUUGGAAUUGAGCCAGAAAGUGAAUUGUUAAAAAGAGACAAGGCAGCUAAGUUGCUCAAAUUGCCCAAAGAUGGAGGGAUUGAGCCACUGAGUUUAUUAUUGCUCAAUUCUAGAUCGGAAAGAGACCUCAAGUUUCCUAUUUCACAUGGAAUUAAGCCAGAAAGUGAAUUGUCAUAAAGAUACAAGGUAGCUAAGUUGCUUAAAUUGCCCAAUGAUGGAGGGAUUGAGCCACUGAGUUUAUUAUUGUUCAAUGCUAGAUCAGAAAGAGACCUUAAGUUUCCUAUUUCACCUGGAAUUGAGCCAGAAAGUGAAUUGUCAUAAAGAUACAAGGUAGUUAAGUUGCUUAAAUUGCUCAAAGAUGGAGGGAUUGAGCCACUGAGUUUAUUAUUGCUCAAUUCUAGAUCGGAAAGAGACCUCAAGUUUCCUAUUUCACCUGGAAUUGAGCCAAAAAGUGAAUUGUCAUAAAGAUACAAGGUAGCUAAGUUGCUCAAAUUGCCCAAAGAUGGAGGGAUUGAGCCACUGAGUUUAUUGUACCCUAAACUAAGUGUAGAAAGAGACCUCAAGUUUCCAAAUUCACUUGGAAUUGAGCCAGAAAGUGAAUUGUUAUAAAGAUACAAGGCAGCUAAGUUGCUCAAAUUGCCCAAAGAUGGAGGGAUUGAGCCACUGAGUUUAUUAUUGUUCAAUGCUAGAUCAGAAAGAGACCUCAAGUUUCCUAUUUCACCUGGAAUUGAGCUAGAAAGUGAAUUGUCAUAAAGAUACAAUGUAGCUAAGUUGCUCAAAUUGCCCAAAGAUGGAGGGAUUAAAUCUUCUAAAUAAUUUGAGUACAAAGCAAGGUAGUUUAGAGAACUUAACCUACCUACUUCAUAAGGAAUUGAGCCAUUUAGUUGAUUCUCGAACAAGUGAAGGGUCUUGAGAUAACUUAGGUGGCCAAUUUGUGGUGGUAUGGUACCAAAAAACGAAUUAUAUGAU